AUGGGCCGUUGGUUGCCUUCAUGGGAGAGUGCGGCCUUUGAGGUCUUCAGCGUGGGUGUGGAGGAGCGGGAAGAGGUGAGGAUGAUGACAACGUGGGAAAAAAGCAGCCAGAUCAAAGCUCCCGUCGCCGCUCACGUUGCCAAGGAGUGGAGGGCCGCAGUUGGCCGCAUCACAGACAAGCGAGGACAAGGACAACGCCUGGAUUCGGCGAUGGCAUCAUCCAUCAUGAGAGGCCUGGGCCUCCUCCACGGACAAGGCGGCGGCGGACAACGCCUGGAUUCGGCGAUGGCAUCAUCCAUCAUGAGAGGCCUGGGCUUCCUCCACGGCCAAGGCGGCGGCGAUCUGAGCACCAGUUCAAGUUUUCUGAAGAAAAGCUUCAGGCUUCUGCAGUUUUCAUUCUUCACGGCGCAGAGGUUACAGAGGUCAGAUGAUGUGUGCAAGGAAGGAAAGAUGCAGACAAGCAACGCCGAAGACGUCUUCAAAGCGCUUGAUGAGAUUGAGUUCCCAGAGUUGGUAGAGCCCCUGAGGACUGCAUUGGAUGAAGCAAAGGCAGUCUGGAGCAAAACAGAGGAAACUAGAUACAGAGCCAAUGCUGUAGAGCAAAAUGAUCGAGCAAACGAAGCCAACGCGGAUGACGAUUAA
rnacentral:rRNA from 1 species